UUGCAUUUGCCGCCGGGUAAAUGCAAUUAAAAAGCAUUCGGAUUUCAUACCGUUAGGCCUUUGAAGGUAUGAAAGUCGGGUGUUUUUUUAU
rnacentral:ncRNA from 1 species